UUUGCCUGGGCUAAUGCGACUGAGAAACACACCUUCCUUAUCCAUUAAGGCCAAAAAUAUUAACUGCUCAAGAUGCGAGCCCUGAGGGCCUGUCUAUAUAUCGAGUUAUUACACGUGGAGGCUUUUAUCUUGGUUAACGCUCGCUGCUUUCCAAGUGAUUUAAAUGAAAUCAAAGAAAGUUGCUCCUAUCAGAGGAGCUCCAGCCCCAUGAGAAAUGAGGCCGGCCUGACCUGUAUGGCUGUGGCAGCAGCAUUAAUACUACUGUGCUACGUGCAGAAGCUGUAACAAUUAGCAAUACUAAUUGUGCCUGUUUGCACAUGAGAACAGGAACACUUGCUUAUACUGAAAUCUUUCCAUUUGAAGGAAUAUUUGAUUUUUACUGAAAUUCAAUAAAAGUGUUAUUCCGAGACUGUUACCCUGGACAUACUGAAUUGGGCAGGAAAACUUGAGCUUGUUGUGCACCUCCGCUUUGUCACCGAUAUCACC